rnacentral:rRNA from 1 species
AUUGAACGCUGGCGGAAUGCUUUACACAUGCAAGUCGAACGGCAGCACGGGGCAACCUGGUGGCGAGUGGCGAACGGGUGAGUAAUACAUCGGAACGUGCCCAAUCGUGGGGGAUAACGUAGCGAAAGUUACGCUAAUACCGCAUACGAUCUACGGAUGAAAGCGGGGGAUCGCAAGACCUCGCGCGAGUGGAGCGGCCGAUGUCAGAUUAGGUAGUUGGUGGGGUAAAGGCUCACCAAGCCAACGAUCUGUAGCUGGUCUGAGAGGACGACCAGCCACACUGGAACUGAGACACGGUCCAGACUCCUACGGGAGGCAGCAGUGGGGAAUUUUGGACAAUGGGCGCAAGCCUGAUCCAGCCAUUCCGCGUGCAGGAUGAAGGCCUUCGGGUUGUAAACU